AUUGAACGCUGGCGGCAGGCCUAACACAUGCAAGUCGAGCGGCAGCGGGAAGUAGCUUGCUACUUUGCCGGCGAGCGGCGGACGGGUAAGUAAUGUCUGGGAAACUGCCUGAUGGAGGGGGAUAACUACUGGAAACGGUAGCUAAUACCGCAUAAUGUCGCAAGACCAAAGAGGGGGACCUUCGGGCCUCUUGCCAUCAGAUGUGCCCAGAUGGGAUUAGCUAGUAGGUGGGGUAACGGCUCACCUAGGCGACGAUCCCUAGCUGGUCUGAGAGGAUGACCAGCCACACUGGAACUGAGACACGGUCCAGACUCCUACGGGAGGCAGCAGUGGGGAAUAUUGCACAAUGGGCGCAAGCCUGAUGCAGCCAUGCCGCGUGUAUGAAGAAGGCCUUCGGGUUGUAAAGUACUUUCAGCGGGGAGGAAGGUGUUGAGGUUAAUAACCUCAGCAAUUGACGUUACCCGCAGAAGAAGCACCGGCUAACUCCGUGCCAGCAGCCGCGGUAA
rnacentral:rRNA from 1 species